GACGAACGCUGGCGGCGUGCCUAAUACAUGCAAGUCGAACGCUUCUUUUCUACCGAGUGCUUGCACUCACUUGAAAAGAGGAGUGGCGGACGGGUGAGUAACACGUGGGUAACCUGCCCAUCAGAGGGGGAUAACACUUGGAAACAGGUGCUAAUACCGCAUAACAGUCGACACCGCAUGGUGUUGAUUUGAAAGACGCUUUCGGGUGUCACUGAUGGAUGGACCCGCGGUGCAUUAGCUAGUUGGUGAGGUAACGGCUCACCAAGGCCAUGAUGCAUAGCUGACCUGAGAGGGUGAUCAAACUCUCCUGGACG
rnacentral:rRNA from 1 species